GACAGAGGAUGCAAGCGUUAUCCGGAAUGAUUGGGCGUAAAGCGUCUGUAGGUGGCUUUUUAAGUCCGCCGUCAAAUCCCAGGGCUUAACCCUGGACAGGCGGUGGAAACUACCAAGCUGGAGUACGGUAGGGGCAGGGGGAAUUUCCGGUGGAGCGGUGAAAUGCGUAGAGAUCGGAAAGAACACCAACGGCGAAAGCACUCUGCUGGGCCGAAAAACUGACACUGAUAGACGAAAGCUAGGGGAGCAAAUGGG
rnacentral:rRNA from 1 species